rnacentral:rRNA from 1 species
AACGAACGCUGGCGGCAUGCCUAACACAUGCAAGUCGAACGAGACCUUCGGGUCUAGUGGCGCACGGGUGCGUAACGCGUGGGAACCUGCCCUUAGGUUCGGAAUAACUCCCCGAAAGGGGUGCUAAUACCGGAUAAUGUCUUCGGACCAAAGAUUUAUCGCCUUUGGAUGGGCCCGCGUUGGAUUAGCUAGCUGGUAGGGUAAAAGCCUACCAAGGCGACGAUCCAUAGCUGGUCUGAGAGGAUGAUCAGCCACACUGGGACUGAGACACGGCCCAGACUCCUACGGGAGGCAGCAGUGGGGAAUAUUGGACAAUGGGCGAAAGCCUGAUCCAGCAAUGCCGCGUGAGUGAUGAAGGCCUUAGGGUUGUAAAGCUCUUUUACCCGGGAUGAUAAUGACAGUACCGGGAGAAUAAGCGCCGGCUAACUCCGUG